rnacentral:lncRNA from 1 species
GGAGGGCCCUGGGCUGUGACGUGGCUCUGGGAAAACGAAAGCAGAGCCGGAGGGCAGGAAAUGGAAAUUUCGGACUUUGCGGCAGAGAAAACCCCUCGGCUUUUCCUGUCUGCCGAGCGUUCCCUGCUCCUCUCUGAGUUUGGACAUUUCUGUGCCAGCUCUGUGGGUAACAGAAACCGAGGCAAACUUGGGAGGAAUCUCCUCAUAAAAGCACUUUACCAAGAAAUGCUUUUUCUCUGCCUCUGGAUGAGGAACAUAGCGCAGCACAUUUUCAUUUCUUCCCUUGCCGAGGGCUCUGGGGGAUUUGGCUCUGUUGAAGCCGCUCAGGGAGAUGGAUUUGGGGUUUGUAAUCUGAUAUUUCUGCCUGCAGGUGACCGAGCCCCAGAGAGCCGAAGGCAAAGGUUCCACGCUGGAGCAGCCUCCAAGUGGAUUUCAGUGCAGAUGGAAAAUCCCUGGGGCUGGAGGGCGAUGGAGCCUCGCUGGCCAGGGACAAACCCGUUCUAUUGCCCCUGCUGAGAGCCUUGAAUACUCCAGAAUUCACGGUGGAUUUCAGCUGCCUGCCCGAGGCUGUGAAGGCGCUGGCGCGCGACGGCUGCAGGGCCCUGCAGGAGCAGCAGUGCCACAGCGCCGAGCUCGCCUUCUCGCGGCUCCUCAGCAUCCUCUGCGCCUCGGGCGUGGCGGUGAGAGCGGCCAAAGCCCCUGCCCGGGGACCCCCU